AACAGGAUUAGAUACCCUGGUAGUCCAUGCCGUAAACGUUGGGCACUAGGUGUGGGGGACAUUCCACGUUUUCCGCGCGGUAGCUAACGCAUUAAGUGCCCCCGCCUGGGGAGUACGGCCGCAAGGCUAAAACUCAAAGGAAUUGACGGGGGCCCGCACAAGCGGCGGAGCAUGCGGAUUAAUUCGAUGCAACGCGAAGAACCUUACCAAGGCUUGACAUGAACCGGAAUGAUGCAGAGAUGUGUCAGCCACUUGUGGCCGGUUUACAGGUGGUGCAUGGUUGUCGUCAGCUCGUGUCGUGAGAUGUUGGGUUAAGUCCCGCAACGAGCGCAACCCUCGUUCCAUGUUGCCAGCACGUGAUGGUGGGGACUCAUAGGAGACUGCCGGGGUCAACUCGGAGGAAGGUGGGGACGACGUCAAAUCAUCAUGCCCCUUAUGUCUUGGGCUUCACGCAUGCUACAAUGGCCGGUACAAAGGGUUGCGAUACUGUGAGGUGGAGCUAAUCCCAAAAAGCCGGUCUCAGUUCGGAUUGGGGUCUGCAACUCGACCCCAUGAAGUCGGAGUCGCUAGAAUCGCAGUCAGGCAA
rnacentral:rRNA from 1 species